UACGUAGGGUCCGAGCGUUUGUCCGGAAUUACUGGGCGUAAAGAGCUCGUAGGCGGUGUGUCACGUCGGCCGUGAAAACCUGGGGCUUAACUCUGGGCGUGCGGUCGAUACGGGCAUCACUAGAGUUCGGCAGGGGAGACUGGAAUUCCUGGUGUAGCGGUGAAAUGCGCAGAUAUCAGGAGGAACACCGGUGGCGAAGGCGGGUCUCUGGGCCGAUACUGACGCUGAGGAGCGAAAGCAUGGGUAGCGAACAGG
rnacentral:rRNA from 1 species